GGAAUAUUGCACAAUGGGGGAAACCCUGAUGCAGCGACGCCGCGUGAGUGAUGAAGUAUUUCGGUAUGUAAAGCUCUAUCAGCAGGGAAGAUAAUGACGGUACCUGACUAAGAAGCACCGGCUAAAUACGUGCCAGCAGCCGCGGUAAUACGUAUGGUGCAAGCGUUAUCCGGAUUUACUGGGUGUAAAGGGUGCGUAGGUGGCAAGGCAAGUCUGAAGUGAAAAUCCGGGGCUCAACCCCGGAACUGCUUUGGAAACUGUUUAGCUGGAGUACAGGAGAGGUAAGUGGAAUUCCUAGUGUAGCGGUGAAAUGCGUAGAUAUUAGGAGGAACACCAGUGGCGAAGGCGACUUACUGGACUGCUACUGACACUGAGGCACGAAAGCGUGGGGAGCAAACAGGAUUAGAUACCCUGGUAGUCCACGCCGUAAACGAUGAACACUAGGUGUUGGGUUCCAAAGGAACUCGGUGCCGUCGCAAACGCAUUAAGUAUUCCACCUGGGGAGUACGUUCGCAAGAAUGCAACUCAAAUGAAUUGACGGA
rnacentral:rRNA from 1 species